rnacentral:tRNA from 1 species
GUCGUGAUAGUCUAGUGGUUAGGACAUUGCGUUGUGGCCGUGAGAACCUAAGUUUGAAUCCGGGUCAUGGCA